rnacentral:rRNA from 1 species
GAUGAACGCUGGCGGCGUGCCUAAUACAUGCAAGUCGAGCGAACAGACGAGGAGCUUGCCCCUCUGACGUUAGCGGCGGACGGGUGAGUAACACGUGGAUAACCUACCUAUAAGACUGGGAUAACUUCGGGAAACCGGAGCUAAUACCGGAUAAUAUAUUGAACCGCAUGGUUCAAUAGUGAAAGACGGUUUUGCUGUCACUUAUAGAUGGAUCCGCGCCGCAUUAGCCAGUUGGUAAGGUAACGGCUUACCAAGGCAACGAUGCGUAGCCGACCUGAGAGGGUGAUCGGCCACACUGGAACUGAGACACGGUCCAGACUCCUACGGGAGGCAGCAGUAGGGAAUCUUCCGCAAUGGGCGAAAGCCUGACGGAGCAACGCCGCGUGAGUGAUGAAGGUCUUCGGAUCGUAAAACUCUGUUAUUAGGGAAGAACAAAUGUGUAAGUAACUAUGCACGUCUUGACGGUACCUAAUCAGAAAGCCACGGCUAACUACGUG